rnacentral:tRNA from 1 species
CCGGCGGUGCUGCGCGGCGUGCAGCCGCGAGCUCAUCUCGCUCGCGAACGGCUUCAGCCAGCCGCGCUUGUUCGGGGCGUACCCGCCGGU